CUGUCGCCCUCACGGGAUCUCCCCGAGUCGCGUCUUCAUCUUCUGGAUUUACUGCCGUCUCUCCUUUCUCCUCGGUUUAUGCUUGAUUUGAUGUUUCCUUUUUUUUUCUCUCCGUUUGAUCUGCUUAUCGGUGGGCAAAUGAGGAGUCCGUUAAUUUUAAUGGGUAAUUUGCGUCUGAAGCAUCUUUUGUGAUGUUGCACUUCAUAUCACCUUGGAGAUCUGAUGCCCAAUGUUCUAACUCUCUAUUGUUUAUUUUCUCAUGCAACGAGGAUGUUUAUUUGCGGUGAUCGUAUUAUCUGAUUUCCUUUGUUCUUUCAAGAUGGAUGAUGAUGGAUUGAUGAUAUUGGGGGAGAGAUGAUGAUGAGUGAUUAGUUUCCUUUUUUUUCUCUCCGUUUGAUCUGCUUAUCGGUGGGCAAAUGAGGAGUCCGUUAAUUUUAAUGGGUAAUUUGCGUCUGAAGCAUCUUUUGUGAUGUUGCACAUCAUAUCACCUUGGAGAUCUGAUGCCCAAUGUUCUAACUCUCUAUUGUUUGUUUUCUGAUGCAACGAGGAUGUUUAUUUGCGGUGAUCGUAUUAUCUGAUUUCCUUUGUUAUUUCAAGAUGGAUGAUGAUGGAUUGAUGAUAUUGGGGGAGAGAUGAUGAUGAGUGAUUAGUUUCCCUAUUGGUUUGAUAGCCGACAUGAUGGCUACCAUUGUAUUAGCUCUAUCUGAUCCCUCUUUUCCAUCACAUUUUAUUUCAUCGCCAUCGUCUUGUUUUCUUCGAUGAUCUAUUAAAAGUUUUAUUCUUUUUGAUUUUUGAUCUAUUUUUAAAGUUUUAUUUUUUUUAUUUUACUUUUCUAUUAUAUUUGGCUUUUCCAGAAUAAAAAAUAAAAGGGAUUGGUAUAAAUAUUAAAACUAUUUGUGUAAUUUUCCCCUGAAAAAGGAAACUGCUUUAUACCUCAUUCGAUUUACACUUUAGCGUUUAUUUAGGUUCAGUCAUCCAAGUGCAUGAGACAUUGCUAUGGUGAGAAAAGCUAAAGGUGGCUGCAUGCUUCAAACUUGUUCUCACAUGGUGCUAUUUAUUUUAGUCCCCAAAAGACGUGCAUAAAUCUGGCACUCCAUCUUUUGACGAUCUCAUUUCUUCUUUGCAUCCAACAACCAUGAGAGCCGGUUCAAGAGCUGUGAGUAUGCUGUGUGUUCUCUUUCUUCUUCACUUUCAUCUCUGUUCUACAUCCAGUCUGCCCCUCGACAAGGAGUUGAUGAGAGGAAGUUGGCAAACCAGAAAGCUGCUACAGCAUUGGUCAUCAAAUUCUGCUGAUCUAACCAGCUCGCAUGCAGUAGCUAAGCAGCCCGAGAAGGCAGUCAGGGCAGGCUUAAGGAAGAUGCCUCCAAGCAGGUCGAAUCCAACACAGAACUAGCAGAAGGGAUCUGCUAGACUGUGAAGGGAGAACUGAAUGAUCUCCUUCCACUGUUUUUGUACUGAGUUCAUCCAGCUUUAGAUUCUUCCCCUCUCUCUUUGCCUUGUUGGCAAAGUAGACCUGUAGAUGAUGAUGUUCUUUUCUUCUCCUUUCUCUCAUUGUUUAUAGAGGUCAUGCCUCAGAAUUGUAGAACCUGUUAAGUUGAGGAUGUUUUACUUUGGUAAUCUACUGUAUUAUACUAGUCAUCAGUCAAUGAAGAAUUAACUUUAUUUUGCA